rnacentral:sRNA from 1 species
UGCUUUUGUAAAAUUCUAAGACGAUCAAAGAUGGCAAAAUGGAGUGC